rnacentral:tRNA from 1 species
GGGAUAUGGCGAAAUCGGUAGACGCUACGGACUUCNACUUUAUAAGUCGUGAGGGUUCAAGUCCCUCUAUCCCCA